rnacentral:rRNA from 1 species
GUGGGGAAUAUUGGGCAAUGGGGGAAACCCUGACCCAGCAACGCCGCGUGAAGGAAGAAGGUCUUCGGAUCGUAAACUUCUAUCCUUGGUGAAGAUAAUGACGGUAGCCGAGAAGGAAGCCCCGGCUAACUACGUGCCAGCAGCCGCGGUAAUACGUAGGGGGCAAGCGUUGUCCGGAAUGAUUGGGCGUAAAGGGCGCGUAGGCGGCCUGGUAAGUCUGGAGUGAAAGUCCUGCUUUUAAGGUGGGAAGUGCUUUGGAUACUGUCGGGCUUGAGUGCAGGAGAGGUAAGCGGAAUUCCCGGUGUAGCGGUGAAAUGCGUAGAGAUCGGGAGGAACACCAGUGGCGAAGGCGGCUUACUGGACUGUAACUGACGCUGAGGCGCGAAAGUGUGGGGAGCAAACAGGAUUAGAAACCCGAGUAGUCC